UUGAAUAUGUUAAAUCACUAUGAAAGCAUUUACUUUUCCUGCCAUUUAUUUCUUUAGCUUGAAAUAAUAAUGUAUAUUUCUUAUUUAAUAAGGUGUAAUCCUUCUGGAGCCACAAGAACUUUAAGCCAAGUCAAAAUGAAACACAAAAACAUUCUGCAAAAAGCUAACAGAAAGAAGACUGAAGCCUGUCUAACUGGCGGGGAGGCCACCACCACCUCCCCUCACCCCAUCUGAGGAGCUGGCUCUGUCCCUUAAUAAAGGGCGACCAGUGGUUGCUGGCAUUCCAGGGGGCAGUUCAUCACACAUACUAUGCACCACAAGUGAUGGUGAAAAAAGGGUGACAUGAUGAAGAUGAUGAUGACGAUGAAGAGACCACAUCUGCUGUGACAGAAGUGGACAAUGCUGGUAGAUCCACUGAGGUAUGAUGCAUACCAUUAUGAUGUAUGGCCCCUUUUUGCAUUAGAGUAACAAACUGUCAUUGUCCUUUCAUAGUACAUACCUAGGGAUUUGCCCACUGAUGAGGGUCCUUCAGCCUCAGCACACAAUCGAAGCAGGUUGCCAGCAAAGGAGCUGUAUAAGGUCCAUCUUCAAAAACAAAUAAGAAAAAGUGACAUGGAGAUGGACCUUAUACAGCUUCAAAUGGAAGAGAAAAGGCUCCUCAUUAAAAAAGCAGCACUUGAAAUAGAAUUACUUGAGAAUCGCCUUAAGGAAAUGAAGAAAUAAACUGCCUGGCAGACCAGUGCAAAAAAAACUAAUAAAAGUAAUUUUGACAAA